UUCCGGUUGAUCCCGCCGGAGGUUACUGCUAUCGGUGUUCGACUAAGCCAUGCAAGUCAUAUGUUCCUCGUGAACAUGGCAUACUGCUCAGUAACACGUGGAUAACCUGCCCUUGGGUCUGGGAUAACCCCGGGAAACUGGGGAUAAUACCGGAUGACGCAUAUGUGCUGGAAUGCUCUAUGCGUAAAACGGAUUCGUCCGCCCAAGGAUGGGUCUGCGGCCUAUCAGGUAGUAGUGGGUGUAAUGUACCUACUAGCCAACAACGGGUACGGGUUGUGAGAGCAAGAGCCCGGAGAUGGAUUCUGAGACAUGAAUCCAGGCCCUACGGGGCGCAGCAGGCGCGAAAACUUUACAAUGCGGGAAACCGUGAUAAGGGAACACCGAGUGCCAGCAUCAUAUGCUGGCUGUCCAGAUGUGUAAACUACAUCUGUUAGCAAGGGCCGGGCAAGACCGGUGCCAGCCGCCGCGGUAACACCGGCGGCCCGAGUGGUGACCGUUAUUAUUGGGUCUAAAGGGUCCGUAGCCGGUUUGGUCAGUCCUCCGGGAAAUCUGAUAGCUUAACUGUUAGGCUUUCGGGGGAAACUGCCAGGCUUGGAACCG
rnacentral:rRNA from 1 species